rnacentral:rRNA from 1 species
GACGUAGGGUCCGAGCGUUGUCCGGAGUUACUGGGCGUAAAGGGCGCGUAGGCGGUUCCAUGCGUCACACGUGAAAGCCCCUGGCUCAACCAGGGAGGGUCGUGUGAAACGGGGGAACUGGAGGCAGAGAGAGGCUGGUGGAAUUCCCGGAGUAGUGGUGAAAUGCGCAGAUAUCAGGAGGAACACCGGUGGCGAAGGCGGGUCUCUGGGCCGAUAUUGACGCUGAGGAGCGAAAGCGUGGGGAGCAAACAGG